CCCAUAGCUCAGCUGGUUAGAGCACCUGACUCAUAAUCAGGGGGUCUCAGGUUCGAGCCCUGUUGGACC
rnacentral:tRNA from 1 species